CCUACGGGAGGCAGCAGUGAGGAAUAUUGGUCAAUGGGCGCGAGCCUGAACCAGCCAAGUAGCGUGAGGGAAGACGGCCCUACGGAUUGUAAACCUCUUUUGUCGGGGAGCAAAGCGCGCCACGCGUGCCGCUUCGAAAGUACCCUAAGAACAAGCAUCGGCUAACUCCGUGCCAGCAGCCGCGGUAAUACGGAGGAUUCGAGCGUUAUCCGGAUUUAUUGGGUUUAAAGGGGGCGCAGGAGGAGGUUAAAGUCUGCGGUAAAAUUGGGGGGCUCAACCGCGUAUUGCCGUUGAAACUGGAGGUCUUGAGUGAGCGAGAAGUAUGCGGAAUGCGUGGUGUAGCGGUGAAAUGCAUAGAUAUCACGCAGAACUCCGAUUGCGAAGGCAGCAUACCGGCGCUCAACUGACGCUGAUGCACGAAAGAGUGGGUAUCGAACAGGAUUAGAUACCCCUGUAGUC
rnacentral:rRNA from 1 species